CUGACCUCAACACAACCCACCCCCUGCUCGGGGCAUUUUGGUGUUUUCUAGACCUCAUUUGACCGGCUUGGGAGACUUUCUGGAUUCGUGUCACAACAAUUGCAUUCAAAUUCAAAUACUUCAUUCAAAACAGCAGGGCUUACCUCAGGAUGCACUACAUUAGGUGGACACUCCAGCUGUGUGCACGAAGCCGCAGGCCUGCGCCAGCUCGGCUGAGCUGUCUUGGAAAUUUGGGAACCAGAAGUAAACCAGCAGCCUGAGAAUGAAGCGCUCUAUUGGGCUGAUAGAGUACUAUGAAGACUUAAAGACUGGGCCUGAUUAUUCAAGACCUUGUGAGUGGGAAGAAGGAUUUUCCAUGGAUAGAACUGAAAGCACCCACAAGAUAAACAGGUGUAUCCCAAUAGGCCUCAGUCAAGGUCAGAGUUCAUCAUUCAACAAUAAGAAGACGACUGGGCUGGGUGUUACAAGUAUGUAAAAACCUAAGAAACCAAUAAAGGAGCAAAUUCUUUUUCACAUCAACUGUAAAUUAUUGCACCCAAGGUCUUAACAGCAUCAACCUAAAAAAAAAUUAAGAGCCUGAAACUCUUAUCUUGCAGUAUUUUUAACCAGUGAUGCCAGUCUUAGACUUGGUACACACAUUAAACAUGUGGUACACAGAGCUCACAAUGCAAGGUUGGCAAAGAUUUAUACCAGCAUGGGGCCAUUAUGCCCUCAUAGCAGAGGCCAGCCAACAGACUUCAUCCACAUGUUCUGGCUCAGGCCAAGGAGCUGCACCUUCCUACAAGUAUAUAUCAAAGUUUUUGGUAAGAUGUUUGGAAUCCAAUUUGACCCAGAUUGACUCUGUCUCCACAUAUAAAAUGAAAUUCAUGUGUUCAUUGCUUUCACCACACUUACAACAAGACAACUGUACAUUGCAAAGUUGAAGCAGUGUGCCCCUUCAGCCUUGUCUCAAUGACUCUAAGUUGGCGUGGAAUUCCUAAAUCUGGAAUAAUUUAAUGUCUCUCUGGGAUCCCAUGGUGAGAAGUACAAUGGAAAACAAAAAUUUAGACUUAAACUGUAUUUUGUAAACUUGUUACCAACUUUGAAAUUAAAUUAGUCUUGACAAGAACGCAUAAAUCUGAAGAUUUUCAUGUACUCUGUGGCCAUAGGCUUUAGGAACCCCGAGGAAUCAAUAGCAUUGACUGAGAGCACCUCAC
ensembl:lncRNA